CCUACGGGAGGCAGCAGUAAGGAAUAUUGCGCAAUGGGCGAAAGCCUGACGCAGCGACGCCGCGUGGGGGAUGAAGGUCUUCGGAUUGUAAACCCCUUUCGGGAGGGAAGAUGGAAUGAGCAAUCAUUCGGACGGUACCUCCAGAAGCAGCCACGGCUAACUUCGUGCCAGCAGCCGCGGUAAUACGAAGGUGGCAAGCGUUGUUCGGAUUUACUGGGCGUACAGGGAGCGUAGGCGGUUUAGUAAGCCCUUUGUGAAAUCUCCAGGCUUAACCUGGAACAGUCGGAGGGGACUGCUAAGCUAGAGUACGGGAGAGGAGCGCGGAAUUCCCGGUGUAGCGGUGAAAUGCGUAGAGAUCGGGAGGAAGGCCGGUGGCGAAGGCGGCGCUCUGGAACGUUUCUGACGCUGAGGCUCGAAAGCGUGGGGAGCAAACAGGAUUAGAUACCCUGGUAGUCCACGCCUUAAACUAUGAAUACUAAGUGUCGGCGGUUUACCGCCGGUUGCCGCAGCUACGCAUAAGUAUUCCGUCCGUCGGAGGUACGGCCGCGAGGUAGAACUACAAGAAGUAGACGGCGUGAGACGUGCCGAACGACGACGACGAGGGAGGUAGG
rnacentral:rRNA from 1 species